GAUCCCAUCCAGCUGGUCGUCUUCCUGCCUGCCCUGUGCUGGAAGACGGGGGUGCCCCGCUGCGUUAUCAAGGGGAAGGCCGGGCCGAGGAGUCUGGCCCACAGAAAGAUCUGCACCACUGUCACCUUCACACAACUUAACUCAGAAGGUGAUGGAGCUCUGGCUAAGCUGGUGGAAGCCAUCAAGACCAAUUACAGGGACAGUGAUCUAAUUGCCAGGAUCUGUUCCGGGUAACCUGGUAUUUAAUCAAAAAUGCUAUUUUUGAAACAAAGAAUUCCCAAGUCUCCAGACUUAAGCAACUUCAGACCAGGCUUCAGACUUCUGAAAUGGCAUCCCAUACUCGCUUAAGACACUCUUCUUAUCAGCCUUUGAAGAAGAACUAAGUGGCCAUGUUGGGAAGUUCGCAUGGGAAGAAGAUGACAGUGGUCUCUAGGAAAUGACGGCAUCCUCCAGCUGACAGUCAUCAAGAAGUUUAUACUCUCAGCCCUACAGCCACAAAGUAAUGAAUUCUGGCAACAAAACUGAGUGAACUUCAAAGUGGAUGCUUCCUAGUCAAGCCUUCAGAUUAGCACUAAUCUAACAUCUACCAGCAAUCCUCCUCUUUUUGCUGAGGAAGACUGGUCCUGAGGUAAUAUCCAUGUCCAUCUUCCUCUACUUUAUAUGUGGGAUGCUUGCCACAGCAUGGCUUGCCAAGGGCUGCCUAGGUCCGCACCCGGGAUCUGAACCAGCGAACCCCAGGCUGCUGAAGCAGAACAUGCGAGCUUAAUUGCUGCACCCCUGACCAUUUUUUCAUUGGAUUUUCUUUUUUGCUAUUGAAUUGUAUGACUUGUUUAUAUAUUUUAGAUAUUAAUUCCUUAUCAGAUACAUGUUUUUGCAAAUAUUUUCUCCCAUUCUAUAGGUUUCUUUCUCAUUUUUUAGAUGAUUUCCUUCACUGUGCAGAGCUUUUUAGUUUGAUGUAGUCCCACUUGUUUAUUUUUCUUUUGUUGCUUUGCUUUGGUGUCAAAUCCAAAAAAAUCACUGCCAAGACCAAUGUGAGCUAACUGCUUCUGUUUUCUUCUGGGCAUUUUAUGGUUUCAAAUCUUACAUUUCAAGUCCUUAGUCCAUUUUGAGUUGAUUUGGGAGUAUAGUAUAAGACAGUGGUCCAGUUUCAUUCUUUUGCAUAUGGCUUUCUAGUUUCCCAGAACCAUUUAUUGAAGAGACUGUCCUUUCCCCAUUACAUAUUGUUGGCUCUUUUGUAGUAAAUUAGUUGACCGUAUAUGUGUGGAUUUAUUUCUGGGCUCUCUAUUCUGUUCCAUUGAUCUAUGUGUCUGUUUUUACAUCAAUACUAUACCAUUUUCAUUACUGUAGAUUUGUAGUAUAUCUUGAAAUCAGGAAGACUGAUGCUCCAGCACUGAUCUUCUUUCUCAAGAUCUCUUUGGCUAUCUGGAGUCUUCUCUGUUUUUAUAUAAAUUUUAUGGUUGCUUGCUCUAUUUCUACAUAAAUUGCCGUUGGAAUUUUAUUACCUGUUAAAUGGGGAUAAAAUACAUUUUCUAUCUAAUUGUUAGGAUUAUUAUAAAUAUCAGAGUAAAUAUUAUAUAAUUUCAGU
ensembl:lncRNA